UUAUGCAGAGUAAAAGAAUAAAAUAAAAACAUGUUGGACUGAUUUGGCAUGAUGUCCUGAGACGUUGCAGCUGAUAUGAGUCAUAAAACGGAAAAGGGGGAUGUUAGAUGUCUGGAUGCCCCUCUAGAUAAAUGUGUUAAAUGAGUGAAGGAAAAUAUGAGCACCAAGCAACAACCCUAUUCUCCCCUGAGAACCAGACCAAAAAUUUUAUGUGCAAACCUGCUUAUAACCCUCCAUUUUUUUUCCAGAUCUAGAAACUGACAUCUUAGUUCCCUCAGUCCAACAUCAUCUGCACCGUUGUCAUCGGGUUUGGAGCCAGACCAGCAGAGCUUUAAUGAGGACUGCCCAGCAGAACAAAAGGUUUGCUGAUCGCCAUCGAUCCUCAGUUCCCACCUAUUCAGUUGGAAAAAAGGUAUGGUUGUCCACCCGUGACAUUCAUCUUAAAGAUACACCAAGAAAGCUCUCCCCUAGGUACAUUGGCCCCUUCACUGUUGAAAAAAUUGUCAAUCCUACUGCUGUGAGAUUGCACCUGCCGUCAUCGAUGAGGAUUCAUCCCACCUUCCACAUUUCUCAGAUUAAACCUGUUAUUGAAAACCAUUUAUACCCACCAACCAACACCCCGCCACCUGCCCGUCUUAUUGAUGGUCACCCUGCAUUUACUAUUCGUCGUAUCCUGGACGUCAGACACAGAGGUUGGGGUUUUCAGUAUUUUGUUGAUUGGGAGGGAUAUGGCCCAGAAGAGCGCUGUUGGGUCCCGAGGUUUUUUUAUUUUGGACCCAUCUUUGAUUUCUGUCUUUUACAGGGAGCACCCGGAGAAGCGGCUUUAAUCGCCUGGAGGCGAUGUUUGAGGAGGGGUACUGAGGCAUUUGGUUGGUGCAGCCUGUUGAUUGAUCGGCAAAUCACCACAGCUGGCGUCAAUUAGGGUCAUCUGCUCUCAGGCUUCUUAAGGCGGCUCUGAACAUGGGUCCUCGCUGAUCCAUCGCUUGCUACUGAAAGCCUGUCUCCUGAGUUACCUGGACCCUCGCCUCCCUGAUUCUGGAAAUCACCCAAGAGCUACUCACCUGAUCCUCCUCACGCUGUCACCUGUUUGCCUCCAACCUGAAAACGUCUGAAAGUACUCACCUGGAUAACUUGCCUAAAAACCCUCUCCUCUAUGCAGAAAAGCCUCAUCUGAGCUCCCUGGUCCAAAUUCCCUGUCACCUGUAAAUAAAAGUACUUACCUUUUGUA